GACGAACGCUGGCGGCGUGCCUAAUACAUGCAAGUAGAACGCUGAAGGAGGAGCUUGCUUCUCUGGAUGAGUUGCGAACGGGUGAGUAACGCGUAGGUAACCUGCCUUGUAGCGGGGGAUAACUAUUGGAAACGAUAGCUAAUACCGCAUAAGAGUAGAUGUUGCAUGACAUUUACUUAAAAGUUGCAAUUGCAUCACUACCAGAUGGACCUGCGUUGUAUUAGCUAGUUGGUGAGGUAAAGGCUCACCAAGGCAACGAUACAUAGCCGACCUGAGAGGGUGAUUGGCCACAAUGGGAAUGAGACACGGCCCAGGCCCCUUCGGGAGGCAGCAGUAGGGAAACUUUGGCAAAUGAGGGAAGGCUGAACGAGGAACGCCGCGGGAGUGAAGAAGGUUUUCGGAUCGGAAAGGUCUGUUGUAAGAGAAGAACGAGUGUGAGAGUGGAAAGUUCACACUGUGACGGUACCUUAACAGAAAGGGACGGCUAACUACGUG
rnacentral:rRNA from 1 species